CCAAUAUUCAGAAGAAAGUCACUGAUCCUUCCCAUACUCAAAGGGAUUACACAAAGAUGUGAAUACCAGGAGCUGGAGAAGCUGGAAACACUCUAAAGUCUGUCUGCUACACAUCUGUUUUGGUAAAAGGAGUCUCCCCUGGUGCUGUGAGAUUGGUUUUCUGUGUUGGAAGGAGAGCAUGGAGAGCAGCUGCUGUCUCCCGGCCUGGUGCAGAGUAUACAAGAGUCAACAUUUUGGUGGCUCAUACCGGGAUCCAGAGAAGGACUCCUGCUGACUCUAAAGAUGGUGAGCAAACAAGUGCAGUAGCUGUACUGAGUCCACUGCUCCUCACUGCUUCCCACUGACCAGAAUUUGAGGCUUUGAUAUUAUUAGAAACAGACACACUUUAAAAAGAAGUUUGCCUUCUAAGUGAUUCUGUGGGUGAAAGGACCAGACUUCACAUUGUACCAAGAGGUACUGAGAGGGAAAACCUGAUGAAGUGUGAAUACAGCCGCGAAAUAUCAAAGUAUUCAAGAAAUGCAUGAGAUAGAGUGCAGGUAAAAAAUUUAAGUAAAUAUUGAAGGUAUAUAUAUAUUUUAAAAAUUAUGACAGACGUAAAUACAACACCAUGCGGAAG
rnacentral:lncRNA from 1 species